rnacentral:rRNA from 1 species
CGUAGGGUGCGAGCGUUGUCCGGAAUUAUUGGCGUAAGAGCUUGUAGGCGGUUUGUCGCGUCUGCCGUGAAAAUCCGGGGCUCAACCCCGGACUUGCGGUGGGUACGGGCAGACUAGAGUGUGGUAGGGGAGACUGGAAUUCCUGGUGUAGCGGUGAAAUGCGCAGAUAUCAGAAGGAACACCGAUGGCGAAGGCAGGUCUCUGGGCCACUACUGACGCUGAGAAGCGAAAGCGUGGGGAGCGAACAGGAUUAGAUACCCUGGUAGUCCACGCCGUAAACGUUGGGAACUAGGUGUGGGUCUCAUUCCACGAGAUCUGUGCCGCAGCUAACGCAUUAAGUUCCCCGCCUGGGGAGUACGGCCGCAAGGCUA